UACGUAGGGGGCAAGCGUUGUCCGGAUUUAUUGGGCGUAAAGAGCGUGUAGGCGGCCUGAAAGGUCAGCUGUGAAACUCGAGGCUCAACCUCGAGACGUCGGUUGAAACCAUCUGGCUAGAGUCCGGAAGAGGAGUGUGGAAUUCCCGGUGUAGCGGUGAAAUGCGCAGAUAUCGGGAAGAACACCCGUGGCGAAGGCGGCACUCUGGGACGGUACUGGACGCUGAGACGCGAAAGCGUGGGGAGCGAACAGG
rnacentral:rRNA from 1 species